AUGCAGUCGAACGGCAGCACGGGUGCUUGCACCUGGUGGCGAGUGGCGGACGGGUGAGUAAUGCAUCGGAACAUGCCCACUUGUGGGGGAUAACGCACCGAAAGGUGUGCUAAUACCGCAUAAGCCCUGAGGGGGAAAGCAGGGGAUCUUCGGACCUUGCGCAGGUGGAGUGGCCGAUGUCGGAUUAGCUAGUUGGUGAGGUAACGGCUCACCAAGGCUACGAUCCGUAGCUGGUCUGAGAAGAUGAUCAGCCACACUGGAACUGAGAACGGUCCAAACUCCUACCGGAAGCAACAGUGGGGAAAUUUUGGACAAUGGGGGCAAACCCUGAUCCAACCAUGCCCGGUGAUUGAAAAAAGGCCUUCGGGUUGUAAAGCUUUUUCGGCCCGGAAAAAAUCGUGCAAACUAAUAAAUCUUU
rnacentral:rRNA from 1 species